AACGAACGCUGGCGGCGUGCUUAACACAUGCAAGUCGAACGGGUUUAAUGGAUGUAGCAAUACAUUCAUUAAAUUAGUGGCGCACGGGUGAGUAACACGUAGGUAACCUACCCUUCAGUGGGGGACAACAGAGGGAAACUUCUGCUAAUACCGCAUACGAUCACGGACUGGGAUGUUCGUGGUGAAAGGAUUUAUUCGCUGAGGGAUGGGCCUGCGGCCUAUCAGGUAGUUGGUGAGGUAAUGGCUCACCAAGCCUGCGACGGGUAGCCGGACUGAGAGGUCGAUCGGCCACACUGGAACUGAGACACGGUCCAGACUCCUACGGGAGGCAGCAGUGGGGAAUAUUGCACAAUGGGGAAACCCUGAUGCAGCGACGCCGCGUGGAGGAUGACGGGCCUUCGGGUUGGUUAAACGUACCUUUUCGUUCUAGGGACGAACGUAGGUGGAGUGGUACCGUUACGUACGGAAACGUAAAGACCGAACCGGACCGUAAACCUUACCGUUCGUUGGUCCCGACGGCCGAACGGCCCGGACCCGGGUAAAAACCGGUUAACGGAACGGUUCGGUACC
rnacentral:rRNA from 1 species